UCCUGCGGUAGGUUACACACCGUCUGUC
rnacentral:sRNA from 1 species